CGCCUCAGCUCUCCGCUGCGAAACUCGGCUGUGAAGUGUGGUCAUGUGACGGGCUAGCGAGCCCAGGCGAAGCACGGCCACACGGUUACAUGAGACCUAAUGCCAGCUUCAUUGAAAAAGCUCUGUUAUCGAGAGUAGAGACAGGAGGGACAGACGUUUUCAGUGUGCAGACACAAAUAACAACACGCAGAAAGCUCUGGGGAACUCGGGGAAAGGGACAUUUUCACAGCCUCAAGAACCUCGGUAGGAGAAAGCAGAAGACACAUCGUUUUAAAAGAUAAACCAAGCGCAGUGGACACAGUGGGAGUAGAUUAUUCAUUCCGAUAACUUCUAUAAGGGCAACUAAAAAAAUAAUUAACUACCUCUCCGCCGUUUCAUAUUUUUGUUUUAUUUUUCCUUUCGUUUACUUUUUUCUUUAUUUUAUCACCUGUCCUCAGAAAAGCAUACAACCAGACGGAGUUGAAUUGCAGUGCAGUGCGUAAAGAAAUUGAACGCAACACCAGGAGACAGAACAGCUCACCGCAUUUAGCCUACCAACAAAAUACAGUGUGUAUAUAUAUAUAUUGUACCAUCCUUGGUUCUGUUUGGGGCUGAUUUUUGUUAAUUUUUUGGAAUAUGGUUGGGGAAAUGGAAACGAAGGAGAAACCGAAGCCUACCCCAGACUAUCUCAUGCAGCUCAUGAAUGAUAAGAAACUGAUGAGCAGCCUACCCAACUUCUGCGGAAUUUUUAACCACCUCGAACGGCUGCUUGAUGAAGAGAUCAGCCGUGUACGGAAGGACAUGUACAACGACACGCUAAACGGCAGCACAGAGAAGCGGAGCAGUGAGCUCCCAGACGCAGUGGGCCCCAUGGUGCAGCUCCAGGAGAAACUAUUUGUGCCUGUGAAAGAGUACCCCGAUUUUAACUUUGUGGGCCGUAUCCUGGGACCACGGGGGCUGACAGCCAAGCAGCUGGAGGCAGAGACAGGAUGUAAAAUCAUGGUGCGCGGAAAAGGCUCCAUGAGGGACAAGAAGAAGGUCGUGGUCUUUGUCUUUGCAAUGGAGAGGGAAGAGCAGAACCGCGGCAAACCCAACUGGGAGCACCUCAACGAGGACCUGCAUGUCCUGAUCACAGUGGAGGACGCACAGAACCGCGCUGAGAUCAAGCUGAAGCGGGCUGUGGAGGAGGUCAACAAACUACUGGUGCCUGCGGCGGAGGGAGAGGACAGCCUGAAGAAGAUGCAGCUGAUGGAGCUGGCCAUCCUCAACGGCACCUACCGAGACGCCAACAUCAAGUCACCUGCCCUUGCCUUCUCUCUUGCAGCGAACGCCCAGGCGCCCCGCAUCAUCGCCGGCCCCGCCCCCAUGCCCCAGAACACCCUGCGCACUUCCACCCCGGCCGGCCCCACCCUAAUGCCCCUGAUCCGACAGAUCCAGACCUGCAUGCCCAACGGCUCGCCCCACCCGGGCGUCAUGACCCAGGGUCCCGAGUCGGGCCUCAUAUACGCGUCGCCGUACGAUUACCCCUACACGCUGGCCCCUGCCACCUCCAUCCUGGAGUACCCCAUCGACUCCAGCGGGGUGUUAGCGUCCUCAAAGGCCGAAGAGCUGCCCCUCUACCUGGGGUUUCAGACCUGUCACUUUCCCAUCACUGUGCAGCGAGGAGAGCCCUGCAACCGGCCUCCCUUUUAAAGAAACGUCCCUUCCCUCCCUCUUUCCCUCCACCCCCUCAAACAACACACACCCACCUCCUCAUCUCCCUCCUCCCUCCCCGCCACCACACGCUGGACUGGUUGAGGAUUGGCCCUCUCUGAACAACCACAAGCCACAAGGGGAAGCCUCGGCCCUUCCUCUUUUAAUGUCUGUUCAAAGUGACGUGUGUUGUUACUGAUCAACCCUUUUUGAUUUCCUGUCCUGAUGAUGAUGAUGAUAUAUUUGUGUAUGAUGAUGAGGGAGAACUGAGCUCCACCUUGCUGCAGACCCCCCUGGGGGCGCCCCCCUCUCUCUGGGUGUGGCUUGGGGGCGUCCUGAGGGGUAACAUGGGGACGGUGAGGGGUCAGAGGGGGUCGACAGAGAGGGCUUGCGGAGCCAAUGGGGGAGAUGGUGUGUAUUGGCGAUGGGGCACCUGCAGUUAAAGUGUCUAGGCUUCACAGGCUUUAUUCACAUUCUGUCCCGACACUGACAGUCUUAACUUCACUCUCAUGAGAAAUAUUCACAGAAUGAGACUUUCAGCCCAAACGACAGUCAGUGAGUGAACAACAUAGCCCUUUUGUAUAACGCAUUUUUGCAUGAACUCAAACGGAGUGUCCUAAAAUGGCUUCGGGAAUAGGGGCCUGGUGUGUGUUGACAGGAACUCCUGCCACUAAUUCACCGUUCCCUUCCUUUAUUCAAUAGGUGUGGCUUUCCCCACGAAAGGCUAAAAGAGUUUCACGGAUCCUUACUGAGCCCCUCAUUCGAUCUGAGUGUUGACACACAUGUGCUUUUGUUUCACAGCUGCCUUGAGUGUAAUGAACCAAGAGCCGGGCAUAUAGCAGUCAGACAGGCAGACAGACCGGCAGACAGACACAGACAAGCAGACAGACACAGACAGGCAGAUAGACACAGACGGGCAGACAGGCAGACAGGCAGGCAGGCAGGCAGACAGGCAGACAGACAGACAGAGGCAGACAGACAGAGGCAGACAGACAGAGGCAGACAGACAGAGGCAGACAGACAGACAGGCAGACAGGCAGACAGACAGACAGACAGACAGACAGACAGACAGACAGGCUCCCUCACUACUGAUGUUUACACCGGCCAAACCUCCCCGAAGAGGCACAGGCCUUAACGCCAUGCAUUAUGUGUGAGUGUGUAUGUGCAUCCUGUACACACAUUCAUAGAAGUAUAUUUUCGCAGACCUACGGUAUGCGACUGUUCCACUGACUGCUAUGUCUGGGAUUGAACAUCUAUACAAUACUGUCACGCUUUACUGAUCACUUAAUUCAUUGCCUUUUUUUCUACCUAUUCUUUUUAUUUUUUAUUUUAUAAGAGAUGUUCAUUUUUUUUACUACUGCAAAUGUGCCUAAAAGCUUUCAUCUCUGGGCUUUAACCAGAGAGUGAGUGAUCAGUAUUAUAUUUAAAACAAAUAACGGAAGAGAUGCACUUCCUGAUGCUCAACCUGAGAUUAUGUGACUAGUAAAGCUCCCCUCUGUGUGUGUGUGUGUGUGUGUGUGUGUGUGUGUGUGUGUGUGUGUGUGUGUGUGCAUAAAUGCCUAAUUUCUGCAAAUUUGUAACAAGGACUCAAGAAAACAAUGGAUCCUUACAGUCAAGGUUACUCCAUUAUCACAAAUGCUACUAUGUCCAAGAUUUCUCCUUGUUACGAUGAAGUAUAUGAGUAUAAUUUGUGCCUUAACAUGUAUUUCUAAAGAUUUUUUCCUAAUUGUGUUACGUGUUUGGUCGUAUAAACCUUGAUGAUAUGACGAAUUGACUUGAUGGAAACGGCGAAGGAGGAAAUGACCUAAUCCUUGUUUUGGUCAUGUUGUUGCAAUCCGAGCAGGUGCAGUGACUACUAAGGUUCGAAGGCACGAACUGCGGGUCCAUCCUUACCAAAGGAUAGUGACCGCAGACCGAGCCGCCACUGGCAACUAACCCCUGACCUUCUGACCUUCUGAAAUCUUCAACCAAUGACGACCUGGCCAUUGCCCGCACAUCAGUUCUUUGGUAGAAGGGGGAAAAAGCAGCCUUGGCUUGUUACAGUCAGUCAAGGCACAGCUUCUCAUCACCUGACUAAUGGACACACUACAAUGGCUUGGCAGCCCCCUCCUGCCUGCCCAGUCUGCUUAUUAGGGGGACAGAUACUGGCUCUAGACCUGCACUGAAUCAUUGUUAAGCAAUAAGGUCUGAUAUGCCCCCUCUUAUCCUCCCUGACCGAGUCCCUGCCAAUCAACCCCCAAACACACCACACUCUAAAACACCCUGGUAACGCCCCGUUGGUCGCCUCCUGAAGAUCAAGAAGGAUGCAAACCUCCACUCCCUGACCGCCCAAAAUCACCGUACCCCCUGGACCUGCCACAUCGCCCAGGUGACCUUCCCACUGUCAUGGUAACUGAGCUGACUAUGAAUGUAUAGCAGCGUGGUGAGUCCUGCCACCUCUCUCUCUCUCUCUCUCUCUCUCUCUCAGAUAUAUAUAUAUAUAUCUAUCUCUCUCUCUCUCUCUCUCUCUCUCUCUCUCUCUCAGAUAUAUAUAUAUAUAUAUCUAUCUCUCUCUCCCUCUCUCUCUCUCUCUCUAUCUACCCCUGCCAACUGAUGACCCAUCUCUCUUCACUGACUAUGAAGUCCGAGGAGGUUUCAUUUAAGCAGGACUUGAAGAGAGAAUAGGGGCUCUAUUCAGUCAGACAAUCUGCAUAGUGGUUGUUUUGGCUGUGUGUCAGAGGUGAAACUGCGUUAGAGCUGUCAAAUCCACAAGUGGUUCCUGACAUUGCCAUUGGCUGCACGGAGUCACAUUAAGAGAAAUUCCAUGCAGCCUUGAUCACAAGUUCAAUCACUGGAAUAUGAGAUGUAAUCUACACCUAGAAAUUCUCAUUAUUUAAUUUAAUGAUUUGGCGUCAUUAUUUCUAUAUAGCCUACACUUUCUUCUUCGGCACUUCCUAACGCGACUGGGAUGGGUGUGGCUUUGUGACAGUGAUCAAGAGCAGCUGCUCACCAACUUGACAGCUGCAAUGCAGUUACACCUCCGACACCGGGUGUCGGGUGUUAACACGUCAUCUGAUUUCAUCUAGGCCCUGGGGUCCAACAGAGAGUUUCAAAACUAUAGAAGGGAGAGUACAUGCCCCGUUACCUGGCAUUGUCGUUGUUGUUUUUCUGCCAUAAAGACAUUUCUUUCAGUCAACUGUUUCUUUGAGGAUGUAAAAGCCAUGCUUGCCUAUCUGCUGUACAAAUGUAUUGAAACUGUAGAUACAUGUGUAAAAAUGGGGGAGAGCACCAAUGUGAAGAAAAUAGACACUUUUAUUACACACGGGUGCUCAUGGGAAAGAAAAAAAUAUAUAUUUUUCAAAAACAUAGUCUUUUAUACCUUCGACUAUUGUAAAGAGAAAUUUGUAAUGAAACCCUUUAUGUCAUGAAAACUAUCCUGUUUUCUUUCUGUGGAUGGAGAGUGAAGACCAAAACAACCUUUCAUUUUAAUUCGGGGUUGAGGAUUUAACUGAAGUGUAAAAAAAACGACAAAGUGCCUUAUUUUACUCAUAUGGUUUCUGAUAUCUGAAUGUGUCAUCAGCCUUUAAGCUGCAGCACAAGUCAGUACACACAGUCUGUCAGCCACUGAGAGAUGCCCUGAGACGGAGUCAGUCACCUCAGCCUUGUUGUUACACUAGACAGACACAGUAGGUCCCUUUCUGUAGGUACACAAGAGUACUUUUUGGUGGCUCCAUAGCACAGAAGGCCGGUGGCAACUUAAUUGGGGAGGACGGUUUCAUAGUUAUGCCUGGAAUGGAAUAAAUUGAAUGGUAUCGAACACAUCAAACACAUGGUUUCAAUCACAGGAGGCUGCUGAGGGGAGAACGGCUCAU